rnacentral:rRNA from 1 species
GUCGGUGUUAAUGGCAAAGAGGUCCCACCUGUUCCCAUUCCGAACACAGAAGUUAAGCUCUUUUACGUCGAAAAUACUCGGUUGGCGACGACCCGGGAAGAUAGAUAGACGCCGGCA